rnacentral:lncRNA from 1 species
GGACUCUGACCUAAGCAAGCUGAUAUGUUGAUUUACCAGAAAUAGAAAGAAGCCAGAGCAAUGCUCUCAUGGGGUGGUGAGGCCAGGCUCAAGCCUGCAGUGUAGCUUCCAGACUUCUUGUCUGGACUGCAACCCCACUCCCAACCAUCCUCUUUUCCCACAUACAUCCCUCUUGUGAGUUACAGUAUACAGCAUGGAGAUUAGAUAUAGAAAUAUUUGACAAUUUAAAAUUUAUUUGUUCAUCAUAAAACACUGAAUAUAUAAAAUAUAAAGGAAUUCAGUUACUACCAUAUAUAUACGUGUGUGUGUGUAUGUAUAUAUAUGUAUAUGUAUAUGUAUAUGUAUAUGUAUAUGUAUAUGUAUAUGUAUAUGUAUAUGUAUAUGUAUAUGUAUAUGUUUGGUAUACUAUAAAACACAUAAGCCGGGCGGUGGUGGCGCACACCUUUAACCCCAGCAUUCGGGAGGCAGAAGCAGGCAGAUUUCUGAUUUUGAGGACAGCCUGGUCUACAAAGCGAGUUCCAGGACAGCCAGGGCUAUACAGAGAAACCCUGUCUUGAAAACAAACAAACAAACAAAACCCAUAAAAUAUAGAAUCAUAUUAUACAACUGAUAUAGAGAUUCUUUAGGAAUCUUGUUUCUUUCUAUAGGAUAGUUGAGAAGUGAUACUUAAUGAUUCUCCUAAAAUGAUAGUGAGAGACAGAAGAGUCAGAGGAAAACGAAGAGCAGACAGCUAUAUACAGGAGAUCACUAAAUAAUUAGAAUACAAGCAAGUGGAUAGGAGGUAACAUGGCAGUAUGUAGCUACAUGUCCAGGGCCAGGAGCUUAGGGGGAAGGUUGUCCAAAGAAGACCAAAGGAUACAAAUAUCAUUGAGUUACAAUAGAAAAUGUUUCUGCAAAGGCAUAGAUUAAUUAUCAAGACAUCCAACAUGUGUACUCAAGAACAGCAGCAGCAAAAAUGCAUCCACAUAAAAGCCCCAAACCAGAAUCUACAGUAUCUAAAGCACGAGACAAUUGCCAAACAUUUUCAGUAAGAAAACUGUAGGUGACAGAUUGAAAGCUAGCGUGGGGUCAGCUUCUCUACAGAUAAUACGGACAUGUGAAGAGCAAAGCCAUGUCUUCACAAUUCUGAAGGGGCUGACUGGAGAGUUCUGUGGCCAGGCAGGCAGAAGAGUUGAUUGAAAACAUGUCCAGACACAUGGAAAUACCAUGCAACCUACAAAUGAAACUGAAAUGUAAGACAAAGGAUGCUUGAGAGUGGAUGUGUAGGCACAGGUAAGCAUGUGAAUAAAUACAGAAGUCAUAGGUGUUUAUUUACCAACUUAAAACAUGGUUAACAUUGGAAGGACGCUGAGAUUGGAUAGGGUGUCCUGGAUACAAUACAGCUCUUUAUAUGUAUUAUUUGUCGUCUUGUUUUUCCAAAAAUAGCAUAUUCAUUCAUUUUCUGUGUGGUUUAAAAUACUCUUAAUUUACUGUAAAGAAUCUAUUACUAGUAAAAGUUUCUUUUAAGUGGGAGCUUGUUGGACCCUUAACUUUCCUCCGGCUGUCCAUCUGCAUCCACUUCUAAGGGCCUUCUUUCUAUGUCUAGCUUUUCAAACCUCCAAUUCAGCCUAAGAGAUGCCAUUAUGGUUCCUUGAUGCCAUCCUGUUUCUGCAAAUGAGCUCUUCAAGCCUGAUUGGUUCUUAGUAGACUCGGUGAUCCUGAAGUACUCCUGAAGUCACGUGUUUCUCUCAGCAUGGCAUUCCACAUCUGUGGCUGAUCUAACUGUAGGUUCUGAACAAACUUCGGUAUAUUUUUCUUCAUACAAAAAUUAUAACUACCUGAAUGUUAGUGAAAGUUAAAUUUGUAUGGUGAUUAAAUCACCACUUCAGGAAAUGAUUUAAGUUAUGAAAACAUCUAGAAAGAGAAACAGAGACAGUUAAAACUUAGGCUACAUUAAAUGUGUCUGAAGACAUCAGCAGACAGAAAGAAGCAACGGCUGUCCAGAGGAGGUGUUUCUGAGUGGAAGCAGUGCCCAAAAGCAGGGAAGAGUGAGCUGGCUUCCCCCUCGAGGGUAUCUGCUGAGGUGUUUGGACAGUGGAAGAAAAGGGAAGUCAGCCAACAUAUGAAGUGUCUC